rnacentral:rRNA from 1 species
CCUACGGGAGGCUGCAGUGGGGAAUAUUGCACAAUGGGCGCAAGCCUGAUGCAGCCAUGCCGCGUGUGUGAAGAAGGCCUUCGGGUUGUAAAGCACUUUCAGCGGGGAGGAAGGCGUUAAGGUUAAUAACCUUGGCGAUUGACGUUACCCGCAGAAGAAGCACCGGCUAACUCCGUGCCAGCAGCCGCGGUAAUACGGAGGGUGCAAGCGUUAAUCGGAAUUACUGGGCGUAAAGCGCACGCAGGCGGUCUGUCAAGUCGGAUGUGAAAUCCCCGGGCUCAACCUGGGAACUGCAUUCGAAACUGGCAGGCUAGAGUCUUGUAGAGGGGGGUAGAAUUCCAGGUGUAGCGGUGAAAUGCGGAGAGAUCUGGAGGAAUACCGGUGGCGAAGGCGGCCCCCUGGACAAAGACUGACGCUCAGGUGCGAAAGCGUGGGGAGCAAACAGGAUUAGAUACCCGGGUAGUC